rnacentral:rRNA from 1 species
UACAGAGGUCUCAAGCGUUGUUCGGAUUCAUUGGGCGUAAAGGGUGCGUAGGCGGCGCGGUAAGUCGGGUGUGAAAUCUCGGGGCUUAACUCCGAAACUGCAUUCGAUACUGCCGUGCUUGAGGACUGGAGAGGAGACUGGAAUUUACGGUGUAGCGGUGAAAUGCGUAGAUAUCGUAAGGAAGACCAGUGGCGAAGGCGGGUCUCUGGACAGUUCCUGACGCUGAGGCACGAUGGCCAGGGGAGCAAACGGG